CGAGCGCAACCCCUGCUGCCAGUUGCCAACGGGUAGAGCCGGGCACUCUGGCGGGACUGCCAUCGACAAGAUGGAGGAAGGUGGGGAGUGACGUCAAGUCAUCAUGGCCUUAUGUCCAGGGCGACACACGUGCUACAAUGGCCGGCACAGCGGGAAGCGAGGCAGUGAUGCCAAGCGGAUCCCUUAAAGCCGGUCUCAGUUCGGAUUGAAGUCUGCAACUCGACUUCAUGAAGCUGGAAUCGCUAGUAAUCGCAGAUCAGCCAAGCUGCGGUGAAUACGUUCCCAGGCCUU
rnacentral:rRNA from 1 species